rnacentral:misc_RNA from 1 species
GUGAGUCAUCGAAUCUUUGAACGCACGUUGCGCCCGCCAGCACUCUGGCGGGCAUGCCUGUUCGAGCGUCAUUUCAACCCUCAAGCCCUGCUUGGUGUUGGGGCGCCACGCGCCGAGCGUGGGCCCUGAAAAUCAGUGGCGGGACCCGCCGUGGGUUCGGGCGUAGUAGACCUCACCUCGCCCGCGACCCCCCGGCGCGUCUCCGGCCGUGAAACCCCCAAACCCUCACAAGGUUGACCUCGGAUCAGGUAGGAGUACCCGCUGAACUUAAGCAUAUCAAUAAGCGGAGGA